CCUAUAACCCAUGAUCUUCCACGGGCAGUUCCCAUAAAUGUUGAUAGGAUACCAGUGGCCUCUGUUGUUUCACAGGUGCCAUUAUCCCACAAGUUAACUUUACCAGUUGUUCAACCUAUUUCAGCCACAGAUAUAACCAAAAGACAUAAAUGUUGAUAGGAUACCAGUGGCCACUGUUGUUUCACAGGUGCCAUUAUCCCACAAAUUAACUUUACCAGUUGUUCAACCUAUUUCAGCCACAGAUAUAACCAAAAGAUUUUCUAAGCAUAGUUUAGAAUCAACUGUGUCUCCUACAUCUGUGAUAGCUUUUCAGGGGGUAGAUGAAGAUGAUUCUGCUAGCAAAGAAUUAGCUUUAGGCUCAGAGACU
rnacentral:lncRNA from 1 species